AACGCUAGCUACAGGCUUAACACAUGCAAGUCGCGGGGUAACGAGAGGGAAGCUUGCUUUCCUUGUCGACGACCGGCGCACGGGUGAGUAACGCGUAUCCAACCUGCCCAUUACCACGGGAUACCCCGUCGAAAGGCGGCCUAAUACCGUAUGCAGUCGUCAGAUGACAUCAGAGGACGACGAAAGGAUUGGCGGUAAUGGAUGGGGAUGCGUCUGAUUAGGUAGUUGGAGGGGUAACGGCCCACCAAGCCAUCGAUCAGUAGGGGUUCUGAGAGGAAGGUCCCCCACAUUGGAACUGAGACACGGUCCAAACUCCUACGGGAGGCAGCAGUGAGGAAUAUUGGUCAAUGGGCGCGAGCCUGAACCAGCCAAGUAGCGUGAGGGAUGACGGCCCUAUGGGUUGUAAACCUCUUUUAUGCGGGAAUAAACGAAUCCACGCGUGGAUUUUUGCAUGUACCGUAUGAAUAAGGAUCGGCUAACUCCGUGCCAGCAGCCGCGGUAAUACGGAGGAUCCGAGCGUUAUCCGGAUUUAUUGGGUUUAAAGGGAGCGUAGAUGGGUUGUUAAGUCAGUUGUGAAAGUUUGCGGCUCAACCGUAAAAUUGCAAUUGAUACUGGCAGUCUUGAGUACAGUUGAGGUAGGCGGAAUUCGUGGUGUAGCGGUGAAAUGCUUAGAUAUCACGAAGAACUCCGAUUG
rnacentral:rRNA from 1 species